rnacentral:sRNA from 1 species
CUUGGUCAUUUAGAGGAAGUAAAAGUCGUAACAAGGUUUCCGUAGGUGAACCUGCGGAAGGAUCAUUAUUGAAUAAACUUGGUUGGGCUGUUGCUGGCUCCUUGGAGCAUGUGCACGCCUGGCACCAUUUUUAACCACCUGUGCACCCUUUGUAGACCUGGAUACCUCUCGAGGAAACUCGGUUUGAGGGCUGCUGUGCGCAAGCCAGCUUUCCUUGCAUUUCCGGUCUAUGUUUUUAUAUAUACCCCAUCAGAAUGUAACAGAAUGUCAUUAAUUGGCCUUAGUGCCUUUAAAUCAAAUACAACUUUCAACAACGGAUCUCUUGGCUCUCGCAUCGAUGAAGAACGCAGCGAAAUGCGAUAAGUAAUGUGAAUUGCAGAAUUCAGUGAAUCAUCGAAUCUUUGAACGCACCUUGCGCUCCUUGGUAUUCCGAGGAGCAUGCCUGUUUGAGUGUCAUUAAAUUCUCAACCUUUCUGGCUUUUAUUAGCUGGUGAGGCUUGGAUGUGGGGGUUGCGGGCUUCUCAGAAGUCGGCUCUCCUUAAAUGCAUUAGCAAAACUUUUGCUGACCAUCUCUGGUGUGAUAAUUAUCUACGCCAUUGAGAAGCAGCUUUAUAUUGGGUUUCGCUUCUAACUGUCCUUUGGACAACUCUUGACAUUUUGACCUCAAAUCAGGUAGGACUACCCGCUGAACUUAAGCAUAUCAAUAAGCGGAGGAAAAGAAACUAACAAGGAUUCCCCUAGUAACUGCGAGUGAAGCGGGAAAAGCUCAAAUUUAAAAUCUGGUAGUCCCUUGUGCCUGCCCGAGUUGUAAUCUAGAGAAGUGUUAUCCGCGCUGGACCGUGUACAAGUCUCCUGGAACGGAGCGUCAUAGAGGGUGAGAAUCCCGUCUUUGACACGGACUGCCAGGGCUUUGUGAUGCGCUCUCAAAGAGUCGAGUUGUUUGGGAAU